rnacentral:rRNA from 1 species
UACGGGGGGGGCAAGCGUUGUUCGGAAUUACUGGGCGUAAAGGGCUCGUAGGCGGCCAACUAAGUCAGACGUGAAAUCCCUCGGCUUAACCGGGGAACUGCGUCUGAUACUGGAUGGCUUGAGUGUGGGAGAGGAAUGCGGAAUUCCUGGUGUAGCGGUGAAAUGCGCAGAUAUCAGGAAGAACACCAAUGGCGAAGGCAGCUCUCUGGGACGGUACUGACGCUGAGACGCGAAAGCGUGGGGAGCGAACAGG